ACAGGAAUACUUUUUUAUGGACUUACAUUGAAUCUUCAGGACUUGGGGUACAAUAUUAAAAUCCUCCAGGUUAUUUUAGGAUUUUCCAGCUUCCUAUCCAGGUUUGGAAUCAUUUUCAUAAUGAAUUGCUUUGGCCGUCGAACGAUAGCAAUACUUUGCCUCCUCUUUGCUGGACUGUUCACACUUCUCUGUGCAUUUCUGCCUCAAGGAAUUUUGCAGGUGACUUUGACAAUGCUAGGAAUCAACUGUGUCGUGAUCUGCAUUUCGUGUAAUUCUGUCUAUCACUCUGAGCUCCUCCCCACUAUAGUCAGGAACAGGUGCAGGGGAAUUGUUCUCACCAUAGAUCGGCUAGGGCCGAUGCUGGCCCCACUGGUUAGUAUACUCAAGCACUAUAUUCCGGCCCUGCCAUGGAUCAUCUUUGCACUCCUAAGCAUCACUGCCAGCUUUGUGGUCUUCUUCUUCCUCCUGAAACCCAAAACAAACCAAUACCUGACACCAUCCAAGACCUAGAAUGUGGACAUUCAAGAAAAGAAGCAAGAGCUGAGGGUGACACCAUGGUGAAAGUAAGCCAAUUUUAGGACUACUCCCAGAAAUCUAAUUAAGAAGAAAAUGAUGCUAGUCUAACCCAGAGUUUCCUCUUCUUCUGGUGGGGAGGAGAUGCAUCCAGCCUUUAUAGCACCAGUGAUCCUGUUUGAAUUUCAGGUUUCCAAUUAGUAGUACAAAUCAAUCAAUAAGCCCUAAUUAAACACUUACCAAUCAUCUCUGUACCACCUCACAUUGGUUAAUAUGACAAAAAGGGGGGGGAUGUGGGAAAAGUGGGAUACUAAUACACUAUUGGUGCAAUGGAUCCAUCCAUUCUGGAGAGCAAUUUGAAAUUAUGCCUGAAGGUCAAUUAAACUGUUUAUACUUUUUGAUUCAGUAACACCCCUAAUAAGUCUAUAUCUCAAAGAGAUUUUGUUGUGUGCUUUUUGAAAUGGGAAAAAGACUAUUUGCAAAACCAGAACCUUAUACACAACAACAGCAUCAUUGUAUGAUCAUGUAUGAUCAAUCAUGAAUGAUCUAGCUAUUCCCAGCAAUAAAAUGAUCCGACAAUCCAAAGGUGUCAUGUCAAAAAUUGCUAUCCACCUUCAGAGAAAGAACUGAUGGAUGCAGAACAAAGUAUAUAAUUUUCACUUUAUUUUUUCAUGUUUUUUUCCCUUGUGGCCCAUCUCUUCUUUCACAACAUGACUAAUAUGGAAAUCUGCUUUUCACAAUUGCACAAAAAUAGUCUAUAUCAAAUUGCUCACUGACGUGGGGAAGGGACAGAUGAGACAGAAGGAACUUAAAAAUUUUUAAUGAAUGUUUAAAUUUGUUUUUACAUGUAAUUGGAAAAAAUAAAGUACUAUUUAAAACAUUAAA